GUGAGGAAUAUUGCGCAAUGGAGGCAACUCUGACGCAGCCAUGCCGCGUGCAGGAAGAAGGCGCUACGCGUUGUAAACUGCUUUUAACCGGGAAGAAACCCCAGGACGUGUCCUGGGUUGACGGUACCGGAGGAAUAAGCACCGGCUAACUUCGUGCCAGCAGCCGCGGUAAUACGAAGGGUGCAAGCGUUAUCCGGAUUCAUUGGGUUUAAAGGGUGCGUAGGCGGAGCGUUAAGUCAGUGGUGAAAUCCUGCAGCUUAACUGUAGACUUGCCAUUGAUACUGGCGCUCUUGAGUGCGCUUGAAGUGGGCGGAAUGUGCCGUGUAGCGGUGAAAUGCUUAGAUAUGGCACAGAACACCAAUUGCGAAGGCAGCUCACUAAGGCGAUACUGACGCUGAGGCACGAAAGCGUGGGGAUCGAACAGGAUUAGAUACCUGGGUAGUCC
rnacentral:rRNA from 1 species